AUUGAACGCUGGCGGCAUGCCUUACACAUGCAAGUCGAACGGCAGCACGGGUGCUUGCACCUGGUGGCGAGUGGCGAACGGGUGAGUAAUACAUCGGAACAUGUCCUGUAGUGGGGGAUAGCCCGGCGAAAGCCGGAUUAAUACCGCAUACGAUCUACGGAUGAAAGCGGGGGACCUUCGGGCCUCGCGCUAUCGGGUUGGCCGAUGGCUGAUUAGCUAGUUGGUGGGGUAAAGGCCUACCAAGGCGACGAUCAGCAGCUGGUCUGAGAGGACGACCAGCCACACUGGGACUGAGACACGGCCCAGACUCCUACGGGAGGCAGCAGUGGGGAAUUUUGGACAAUGGGCGAAAGCCUGAUCCAGCAAUGCCGCGUGUGUGAAGAAGGCCUUCGGGUUGUAAAGCACUUUUGUCCGGAAAGAAAUCCUUGGCCCUAAUACGGUCGGGGGAUGACGGUACCGGAAGAAUAAGCACCGGCUAACUACGUG
rnacentral:rRNA from 1 species